rnacentral:rRNA from 1 species
AACGAACGCUGGCGGCAUGCCUAACACAUGCAAGUCGAACGAGACCUUCGGGUCUAGUGGCGCACGGGUGCGUAACGCGUGGGAACCUGCCCUUAGGUUCGGAAUAACUCCCCGAAAGGGGUGCUAAUACCGGAUAAUGUCUUCGGACCAAAGAUUUAUCGCCUUUGGAUGGGCCCGCGUUGGAUUAGCUAGUUGGUAGGGUAAAAGCCUACCAAGGCGACGUUCCAUAGCUGGUCUGAGAGGAUGCUCAGCCACGCUGGGACUGAGACACGGCCCAGACUCGUACGGGAGGGAGCAGUGGGGAAUAUUGGACAAUGGGCGAAAGCCUGAUCAAGCAAUGCCGCGUGAGUGAUGAAGGCCUUAGGGUUGUAAAGCUCUUUUACCCGGGAUGAUAAUGACAGUACCGGGAGAAUAAGCACCGGCUAACUACGUG